rnacentral:rRNA from 1 species
ACAGAGGGUGCAAACGUUGUUCGGAUUUACUGGGCGUAAAGCGUGCGCAGGCGGUUUUGUAAGCCAGAUGUGAAAUCCCCGGGCUUAACCUGGGAAUGGCAUUUGGGACUGCAAGGCUGGAGUGUGGCAGAGGAGACUGGAAUUCCUGGUGUAGCAGUGAAAUGCGUAGAUAUCAGGAGGAAUACCGAUGGCGAAGGCAGGUCUCUGGGCUGACACUGACGCUCAUGCACGAAAGCGUGGGGAGCAAACAGGA